rnacentral:rRNA from 1 species
GACGAACGCUGGCGGCGUGCUUAACACAUGCAAGUCGAACGGAAAGGCCCUGCUUUUGUGGGGUGCUCGAGUGGCGAACGGGUGAGUAACACGUGUGUAACCUGCCCUUGACUUUGGGAUAACUUCAGGAAACUGGGGCUAAUACCGGAUAGGAGCUCCUGCUGCAUGGUGGGGGUUGGAAAGUUUCGGCGGUUGGGGAUGGACUCGCGGCUUAUCAGCUUGUUGGUGGGGUAGUGGCUUACCAAGGCUUUGACGGGUAGCCGGCCUGAGAGGGUGACCGGCCACAUUGGGACUGAGAUACGGCCCAGACUCCUACGGGAGGCAGCAGUGGGGAAUAUUGCACAAUGGGCGGAAGCCUGAUGCAGCAACGCCGCGUGCGGGAUGACGGCCUUCGGGUUGUAACCGCUUUCGCCUGUGACGAAGCGUGAGUGACGGUAAUGGGUAAAGAAGCACCGGCUAACUACGUG